AAGUCGUAACAAGGUUUCCGUAGGUGAACCUGCGGAAGGAUCAUUAUUGAAAAGCGCGGACCGGUCGUCCCUGGCCUGCGCCGCCGAAAGGCGCGCGCGGCAAAGGCGCCGGCCCUGCCAGUCCAAACCAAAUACAAACCCCUGUGAACCUUUUGCGAAGCCCGAGGUGGCGCGAGCCCUUCGGCGCUUUACAAUUCAUACAAACUCUUUUGCCUGUAAUUUGUUUAGUUCGGGGUGACACCCUGCUAAAAUGCGAAACAACUUUCAACAACGGAUCUCUUGGCUCUC
rnacentral:misc_RNA from 1 species